rnacentral:rRNA from 1 species
GACGAACGCUGGCGGCGUGCUUAACACAUGCAAGUCGAACGGAAAGGCCCUGCUUUUGUGGGGUGCUCGAGUGGCGAACGGGUGAGUAACACGUGAGUAACCUGCCCCUGACUUUGGGAUAACUUCAGGCAACUGGGGCUAAUACCGGAUAGGAGCUCCUGCUGCAUGGUGGGGGUUGGAAAGUUUCGGCGGUUGGGGAUGGAGCCGCGUCUUAUCAGCUUGUUGGUAGGGUAGUGGCCUACCAAGGAGACGACAGGUAGCUGGGCGGGGAGGAGGAGAGGGCAGACUGGGAAUGAGGCACGGACGAGACUGCUACGGGAGGGAGAGGGGGGGAAUAUUGGAAAAUGGGGGAAAGCAUGAUCCAGCACUGACGGGUGAGUGAUGAAGGGAGUAGGGUUGGAAAGCUCGUUUAACCGGGAUGAUAAUGACAGUACCGGGAGAAUAAGCUCCGGCUAACUCCGUG